AGUAAAAGUCGUAACAAGGUCUCCGUUGGUGAACCAGCGGAGGGAUCAUUAGAGAGUGCAAACUCCCAGACCCGUGUGAACGUACCCCGGUUGCCUCGGCGGGGGGGCUCUGCCCUGCCGCCAAAGGCCCUAUAAACUCUGUUUUGACCUGAAACUCUGAAUCAUAAAGCAAAUAAGUUAAAACUUUCAACAACGGAUCUCUUGGUUCUGGCAUCGAUGAAGAACGCAGCGAAAUGCGAUAAGUAAUGUGAAUUGCAGAAUUCAGUGAAUCAUCGAAUCUUUGAACGCACAUUGCGCCCGCCGGCACUCCGGCGGGCAUGCCUGUCCGAGCGUCAUUUCGACCCUCAGGCCCCUGGGCCUGGUGUUGGGGCCCCGCGCGCGCCGCGGGCCCUGAAAAUCAGUGGCGGGACGCCCCUCGAUCCCGAGCGCAGUAGACAUACCUCGCUCAGGGCGCGUAGGGCGCCUCCCCGCCGUAAAACACCCCCCGUCGCAAGACGCAGGUUGACCUCGGAUCAGGUAGGAAUACCCGCUGAACUUAAGCAUAUCAAUAAGCGGAGGA
rnacentral:rRNA from 1 species